AAACUAACCGAAGGAGUGAGAGAGAGGCAAAUAGGCGCCUAAUGCUUUUCGUCGGAGCUAAGGAAAUAUCACAACAAGUACCAUAUUACCGAGUAAAUAAUGCCAGCUUAAAGAAUAAGAAAUUUAAUCUUUGCUUGUGCCACAGGCAGUAAUACAAAAACAAGGCGAAUUCGCAGAAUAGUGAAAGUACUAGAAAAAUUCCAAUCGAUAUGCUCUUUGAGGAGGAGCAUGACUUGGUGAACUUCGCUGUCUUCAUGAACUUCCUACCAGGCGUGUCUAGACAAAGAAUAAAACGAUCUCAGCCGAUUUUUCCAUUUUGGUGUCCUGUUGGUCAAAUCCCACAUCUCGGUGCCUUUCUUAAGGUCAGCAAUAAAUUUGUUCACGUCAUCCUCUUUUGAGGCCAGACAAUUUGAAGGAAAAAAUGGAAGAUCAUUAUGAAGAUGAUGUAAACGACUUAACUGAAAACCAUAUAGUUUAGAGGGACUUUAAAAAUAUUGACUACGUCUUGCUAAGUACCGACUGUAAUUUAUGUGACUGGGACUCUAUUUAUGGCUAUAAAAAUAUUAAUUCUCAAUUGUCUGUCCUACAAGAUAAUAUUAUAUAUUUAUACAACCGUUCAGUAUCAUUAGUGACGAAAAUGACCAAGCCUCGUAAAAAUCCAUGGUUUAGUGUAGCAAUUAACAAACGGGAUACUGCAUUUCAAAAAUGAAAGCGAUAUAAGACAAGCCAGCGCGCAUCCCUGAUAUUAAGAAACUAGGCAGUUGACUGUAAAGUACCUGAUGUAAUAAAAGAUGACUAUCUUGACCACCUUCCUAAAAAUACGUAUCGAAAUUGUGAUAUUAUAAAUUGCUGCUGUUAUAAUGGUACCUGUGAUAGUAGUUUUAGUUUCACGGUUACUACUGAGACUGAUGUCCUUAAAUCAAUAGUACUGAUUAAGUCAAAUGCAAAUGGAGUCUACGACAUAAGCCUAAUAUUUAUAAAGAUAAUAUUACCAAAAAUAUUACCAUUAUUACAUUUAUAUAAGUACAAACAUAUUGUAGAACUUGGCCACAAUACUUACAGACAAAUGUACAACCCAAUUUCCAGAGUGCACGGUUAUAUGAUCAGAGUGCACUGGGACUGAAGAUUGCAGAGUCAGCAUAUUUGACAUGCGACGACCCUCCGUCAGCCUUAAGCAUUUACACAUAAGCGUCGACCGCAGCUCUGCCGGCAUAUCUUAGCGAUCAUUAGCUAUAUGCACCAAGCUAGCAGAAGGGAACAGAUAUUCAAGUCCAAGGCCUCGGCUGCGCUGGCUGUGUUACAGAAGCAUUGUAUGUAAUUAAAAAAAAUAAACGAGUUGAGAGCGGGCGAUAAAUACGAUUAGCUUCAACGUAAAAAUCCUUAAACGAAAGUAGAUCAAGUUAAAAAAAAUUAAAGUUAAUAAAAAUGGCAACAAAGUUUCUACAUUACCAACAAAUUUUAGAAGACAUAACCUAGGCAAGGGCGAGUAUCACAGACUUCGACAUCGCUCUGGAUACAAGCAAAAGCAAAAAACGAGAGAGAUCGAUAAAAGAAGCUCAACCAGCGAACAAGAAAGCCAAAACAACCAACCGAGCCACAUGAUCUAGGUCUUUUGCAGAAGUGGUAAAAGAUAGAAAGAUCAUUGGAGGCAUCGACCAGAACGAAGAAGGCGGCAGAAUCCCAAGAAAUCAGUGGGGUCUGGUUAGGCGGGCGACAGUGGCUUAAAAAUAACUUCCAAUGAUCUUCCUUAAACAGGCGUGUCCAGAACCCCUCGCAGCGCAACAGUUCGACAAGGCGCAGCUCCAUAUCAACGAUACGGACAAAAUAGCGGCACACAACCUAGUUCCUGCACGAUCUAUGAACCUAUGAGUGAUGACGAGAUGGAACACUAGGAGGCCAACCAUACUGGACUUAACUGAAAACCAUAUAGUUUAGAGGGACUUUAAAAAUAUUGACUACGUCUUGCUAAGUACCGACUGUAAUUUAUGUGACUGGGACUCUAUUUAUGGCUAUAAAAAUAUUAAUUCUCAAUUGUCUGUCCUACAAGAUAAUAUUAUAUAUUUAUACAACCGUUCAGUAUCAUUAGUGACGAAAAUGACCAAGCCUCGUAAAAAUCCAUGGUUUAGUGUAGCAAUUAACAAACGGGAUACUGCAUUUCAAAAAUGAAAGCGAUAUAAGACAAGCCAGCGCGCAUCCCUGAUAUUAAGAAACUAGGCAGUUGACUGUAAAGUACCUGAUGUAAUAAAAGAUGACUAUCUUGACCACCUUCCUAAAAAUACGUAUCGAAAUUGUGAUAUUAUAAAUUGCUGCUGUUAUAAUGGUACCUGUGAUAGUAGUUUUAGUUUCACGGUUACUACUGAGACUGAUGUCCUUAAAUCAAUAGUACUGAUUAAGUCAAAUGCAAAUGGAGUCUACGACAUAAGCCUAAUAUUUAUAAAGAUAAUAUUACCAAAAAUAUUACCAUUAUUACAUUUAUAUAAGUACAAACAUAUUGUAGAACUUGGCCACAAUACUUACAGACAAAUGUACAACCCAAGCAAUUUCCAGAGUGCACGGUUAUAUGAUCAGAGUGCACUGGGACUGGAGAUUGCAGAGUCAGCAUAUUUGACAUGCGACGACCCUCCGUCAGCCUUAAGCAUUUACACAUAAGCGUCGACCGCAGCUCUGCCGGCAUAUCUUAGCGAUCAUUAGCUAUAUGCACCAAGCUAGCAGAAGGGAACAGAUAUUCAAGUCCAAGGCCUCGGCUGCGCUGGCUGUGUUACAGAAGCAUUGUAUGUAAUUAAAAAAAAUAAACGAGUUGAGAGCGGGCGAUAAAUACGAUUAGCUUCAACGUAAAAAUCCUUAAACGAAAGUAGAUCAAGUUAAAAAAAAUUAAAGUUAAUAAAAAUGGCAACAAAGUUUCUACAUUACCAACAAAUUUUAGAAGACAUAACCUAGGCAAGGGCGAGUAUCACAGACUUCGACAUCGCUCUGGAUACAAGCAAAAGCAACAAACGAGAGAGGUCGAUAAAAGAAGCUCAACCAGCGAACAAGAAAGCCAAAACAACCAACCGAGCCACAUGAUCUAGGUCUUUUGCAGAAGUGGUAAAAGAUAGAAAGAUCAUUGGAGGCAUCGACCAGAACGAAGAAGGCGGCAGAAUCCCAAGAAAUCAGUGGGGUCUGGUUAGGCGGGCGACAGUGGCUUAAAAAUAACUUCCAAUGAUCUUCCUUAAACAGGCGUGUCCAGAACCCCUCGCAGCGCAACAGUUCGACAAGGCGCAGCUCCAUAUCAACGAUACGGACAAAAUAGCGGCACACAACCUAGUUCCUGCACGAUCUAUGAACCUAUGAGUGAUGACGAGAUGGAACACUAGGAGGCCAACCAUACUGGACUUAACUGAAAACCAUAUAGUUUAGAGGGACUUUAAAAAUAUUGACUACGUCUUGCUAAGUACCGACUGUAAUUUAUGUGACUGGGACUCUAUUUAUGGCUAUAAAAAUAUUAAUUCUCAAUUGUCUGUCCUACAAGAUAAUAUUAUAUAUUUAUACAACCGUUCAGUAUCAUUAGUGACGAAAAUGACCAAGCCUCGUAAAAAUCCAUGGUUUAGUGUAGCAAUUAACAAACGGGAUACUGCAUUUCAAAAAUGAAAGCGAUAUAAGACAAGCCAGCGCGCAUCCCUGAUAUUAAGAAACUAGGCAGUUGACUGUAAAGUACCUGAUGUAAUAAAAGAUGACUAUCUUGACCACCUUCCUAAAAAUACGUAUCGAAAUUGUGAUAUUAUAAAUUGCUGCUGUUAUAAUGGUACCUGUGAUAGUAGUUUUAGUUUCACGGUUACUACUGAGACUGAUGUCCUUAAAUCAAUAGUACUGAUUAAGUCAAAUGCAAAUGGAGUCUACGACAUAAGCCUAAUAUUUAUAAAGAUAAUAUUACCAAAAAUAUUACCAUUAUUACAUUUAUAUAAGUACAAACAUAUUGUAGAACUUGGCCACAAUACUUACAGACAAAUGUACAACCCAAGCAAUUUCCAGAGUGCACGGUUAUAUGAUCAGAGUGCACUGGGACUGGAGAUUGCAGAGUCAGCAUAUUUGACAUGCGACGACCCUCCGUCAGCCUUAAGCAUUUACACAUAAGCGUCGACCGCAGCUCUGCCGGCAUAUCUUAGCGAUCAUUAGCUAUAUGCACCAAGCUAGCAGAAGGGAACAGAUAUUCAAGUCCAAGGCCUCGGCUGCGCUGGCUGUGUUACAGAAGCAUUGUAUGUAAUUAAAAAAAAUAAACGAGUUGAGAGCGGGCGAUAAAUACGAUUAGCUUCAACGUAAAAAUCCUUAAACGAAAGUAGAUCAAGUUAAAAAAAAUUAAAGUUAAUAAAAAUGGCAACAAAGUUUCUACAUUACCAACAAAUUUUAGAAGACAUAACCUAGGCAAGGGCGAGUAUCACAGACUUCGACAUCGCUCUGGAUACAAGCAAAAGCAACAAACGAGAGAGGUCGAUAAAAGAAGCUCAACCAGCGAACAAGAAAGCCAAAACAACCAACCGAGCCACAUGAUCUAGGUCUUUUGCAGAAGUGGUAAAAGAUAGAAAGAUCAUUGGAGGCAUCGACCAGAACGAAGAAGGCGGCAGAAUCCCAAGAAAUCAGUGGGGUCUGGUUAGGCGGGCGACAGUGGCUUAAAAAUAACUUCCAAUGAUCUUCCUUAAACAGGCGUGUCCAGAACCCCUCGCAGCGCAACAGUUCGACAAGGCGCAGCUCCAUAUCAACGAUACGGACAAAAUAGCGGCACACAACCUAGUUCCUGCACGAUCUAUGAACCUAUGAGUGAUGACGAGAUGGAACACUAGGAGGCCAACCAUACUGGUUUAGGGAAGGCAAACUCACUACGGUCAGUCUGGAACUCUACGCGUACAGACAUCACAUCAUUCAAUCAAGCUUUCGGCCCUGACGGGCCAAUGCCAAACACCAUAACACAGCAAGUCAUACACGCACACUUGUCUUAGGAACUUAACCUGAGAGGACCCGCUAACUUACACCACACGCAAUUGGAAAGCGCAAACACAAACAAAAGCGUCAACCAGUUUGAAGCGCGGAAUUUACAAUAACUCUAGACUACAAAAAAACUCCUCACAAUAACUUUAACACUCUAUCGACGCACGUGCUCAAAAGUCAAGAAUAAGAAACUCUAGUCAGAACUUUAGCUGACAUCUGACAUUCAAAGAAGAGCGGCGCUCUGCAUCCGUACCAAGCAUUGAAUACAAUCCUCGACCUUAAGCCCCUGAACUUGCUUGCCAAAAGCUGGACAUUAGCAUCAGCGCUUAGGCUCCGCGAAGCAGCAGCCUGGACAACAGGCUCAACUGGUCACUCCGCUGUACUAACGAAUCAGAAUCAGUCCAUACCACGCAUAACAGACUACGUUCCACCCAUAGUCGACUUCGAAAAAAGUUCAAGGUCUUCAUACCUACCCGUACAGACUGAGCUUCUGCUCAGCGCUCAACCUUAAACGCCUUUUAACCCUAGAAAGCUUACUCACGUCCCAGCCUUGCGGCCAUAAAGGGCGUAAGCCCAAAAAGAACAAACUGGUUCGAUAAAACCCAAUAACCCAUAAGCUAGAGAAAAUGAUCUGCACUGGGAUUACAUGGUAUUAAAGUUAACGGCAGCUCAUAGCAGGUAGUAAGAUUCAAUUAUUAGGCAAAGAAAAGAAAUGUCUAUAAAUAUUGCUCUCUAUAGUGAUGCUCUUGGGACACAUUUUGUCCAAUUUGAUAUCGUUGUUAUCUUAGCCUUCGUAAUGGAGUCAAAUACUGAAUGUUAUGAAUCGUAAAUUGUAAUACCUAUAAACUAAAGAUAUCCGUCAUAACAGCUCCGAAAAAUAUAAAAAUAAAAUAUAUAAAACAAACAAUCUUCAAUAAAACCUUAAAGAGAGAUAACGUGGCCACUAUAAUAAUAUUUGUUUAUGUCCAAUAACAACUGAACAAACUUGGUAGAACCCUAAAAAGUAAGGUAUUCUUAACAACAAAUCUUAACCAAUCUUAGCCAUUAAUAUAGACAUCAAUCACCGCAUUCAACUGUAUGGGUCAGUAAACGUAAUGUUAUGAUAGCAUCUUCAAGGCCAAAUGAAAUGCAACUGGCAAAAUAAAUUGUGCCCCAGAUUUAUUAAAACACAACAGAAAAGUGAUCUUUUAAACUCUCAUAGUAAGGCCUUUUAUCCUGUCAACCAAAAAAUUGUAUCCUA